AUUGAACGCUGGCGGCAGGCUUAACACAUGCAAGUUGAGCGGAGCGAGGGUGCUUGCACCUUAGCUUAGCGGCGGACGGGUGAGUAAUGCUUAGGAAUCUGCCUAUUAGUGGGGGACAACAUUCCGAAAGGAAUGCUAAUACCGCAUACGCCCUACGGGGGAAAGCAGGGGAUCUUCGGACCUUGCGCUAAUAGAUGAGCCUAAGUCGGAUUAGCUAGUUGGUGGGGUAAAGGCCUACCAAGGCGACGAUCUGUAGCGGGUCUGAGAGGAUGAUCCGCCACACUGGGACUGAGACACGGCCCAGACUCCUACGGGGGGCAGCAGUGGGGAAUAUUGGACAAUGGGCGGAAGCCUGAUCCAGCCAUGCCGCGUGUGUGAAGAAGGCCUUUUGGUUGUAAAGCACUUUAAGCGAGGAGGAGGCUCUUAAGGUUAAUACCCUUGAUGAGUGGACGUUACUCGCAGAAUAAGCACCGGCUAACUCUGUGCCAGCCGCCGCGGUAA
rnacentral:rRNA from 1 species